GAAUGCUAAUUUCACCUUAAGAAAUGUACUAAUCUCUUGAAUGAAUUCAACGUGCAUUCAGUUAAUUCACACUGAUUAAAGUGACGACUGUUAAACAAUAAAAAAUUAAGUUAAACACAAAAAAUUAAGUUANCUACACCGUCCGUCCGUUUAUCCCACUUGACGUCGAAUGUCUCGAGUUCAGUGUAAGUGCUCAUGGGAAAAUCCUGGUUAUUAAUAAGAUUCGUGAAAAAUAUAAAACACACGAAGCUGCUUAAUAAUCAGGAUCGUCCCUGCCGGAUAAACGUUAACUGGGGUCCGCGGGUUCGUAAAGCCCGUUCCUCUGUUCAGAAUACCCCUGCGGUACGGUCUCAC